UACGUAGGGUCCAAGCGUUGUUCGGAUUUACUGGGCGUAAAGGGCGCGUAGGCGGCCAUUCAAGUCAGUUGUGAAAUCUCCGAGCUUAACUCGGAACGGUCAACUGAUACUGCUGUGCUAGAGUACAGAAGGGGCAAUCGGAAUUCUUGGUGUAGCGGUGAAAUGCGUAGAUAUCAAGGGGAACACCUGAGGUGAAGACGGGUUGCUGGGCUGAUACUGACGCUGAGGCGCGAAAGCUAGGGUAGCAAACGGG
rnacentral:rRNA from 1 species